GGGGCCAAUAACAACUGGCUGCCUAUUAGGGGAAACUGCUGCUGCAAACAAAUAAUACUCUGUGCAACUGCUCGCAGCGUUUGAAACACUGGCUUACAUUAAUCACAGUGAGAGGGAGAAACAGUUCAUUAAAGCUACUGGAAACAACUACUGGAAUAAUAAUGACUGAGUUAGCAGAGUUCAUCACUAGGACUACUCCAUUUGAUCAGCUUUGCUCCCACUGGUUGGGAAGCUGAGUGGAAUAUUCAGUGACACAACCUAAAUUUCACCAGAGAAAGCUAAAGAGAACUGCAAGAUGCUCC